rnacentral:SRP_RNA from 1 species
UUGGGUCCUGUGCAACCAGUGCCCGUGAACCGAGUCAGGGUCGGAAGGCAGCAGCUCUCAGCGGAAUCACUGUUGUGCCGCAGA